AACCAAACUAAUCAACCAUGGUUGUGGAAAUGGACCGAAAACCACAACUGACAUUGAAAACCAAUAUCCCUUCUUUUUAAGUUUAAAUAUGGACUCAUGGUCCAUUUUACUUAAUAAAAAUGGGCUCUUAAAUUGAUCCACACAUAAAUAUACCAAAAAAAGAGUUGGUCGGCCCUGAAGUGGUAAGACUAGGUGAGUAUAAAAGAACCCUAAAUGAUAGAGUUUUCUGAUUAAUGCUCUCUGCCUCUUCUCCUCAUUGUUCUCAUCGCCUCUACAGAGAUAUUGUCUCUUGUGCCCCACAACUGUAGCUUCUUCCCCUUUUGGUUAUGCGGGAUUAACAGAUUCCACCUUGAUCUUGUCGCUGUGGAGAUCAACUUUCAAAGGUGUACUACAAGUUAUUAAGUAUUGGAAAAAAUGGUGGAGAUGGAAUAAAAUUGAUGUUGAGAUUUUAUAUGCAAAAUUCAACUGAUUCAGAAUUGAGGUGUACUACAAAUUAUUAAGUAUUGGAAAAAAUGGCGGAGAUGGAAUAAAAUUGAUGUUGGGAUUUUAUAUAGAAUAUUCAAAUAAUUCGGGAUUGAGGAUCCAAAAUAGAGUAGAAAAUCCUACAAUUAUC